rnacentral:rRNA from 1 species
UUUACGGAGAGUUUGAUCCUGGCUCAGGAUUAACGCUGGCGGCGUGCCUGACACAUGCAAGUCGAACGGGUGCUAACUGCCCGCAAGGGUGGUUAGCGCUAGUGGCGGACGGGUGAGUAACACGUGGGCAACCUGCCUGAGAGUGCAGAAUAACUUUGCGAAAGCAAAGCUAAUACUGCAUGUGGUUGGCGGACGGCAUCGUCUGACAACUAAAGUCGCAAGACGCUCUCAGAUGGGCCCGCGGCCUAUUAGCUAGUUGGUGAGGUAACGGCCCACCAAGGCUGUGAUGGGUAGCUGGUCUGAGAGGACGGACAGCCACACUGGGACUGAGACACGGCCCAGACUCCUACGGGAGGCAGCAGUGAGGAAUUUUCCGCAAUGGGCGAAAGCCUGACGGAGCAACGCCGCGUGAGGGAUGAAGUCUCUAGGGAUGUAAACCUCUGUUGGGAGGGACGAAGAUCUGAC